rnacentral:rRNA from 1 species
CAGUAGCCGCGGGAAUACGUAGGGUGCAAGCGUUAAUCGGAAUUACUGGGCGUAAAGCGUGCGCAGGCGGUUCGCUAAGACAGAUGUGAGAUCCCCGGGCUUAACCUGGGAACUGCAUUUGUGACUGGCGGGCUAGAGUAUGGCAGAGGGGGGUAGAAUUCCACGUGUAGCAGUGAAAUGCGUAGAGAUGUGGAGGAAUACCGAUGGCGAAGGCAGCCCCCUGGGCCAAUACUGACGCUCAUGCACGAAAGCGUGGGAGCAAACAGGAUUAGAUACCCCUGUAGUCCCUGUCUCUUAUACC